rnacentral:sRNA from 1 species
UUUGGCUUAAUUGAAAUUUAAACGUUUAACCCUCGGUGUCAGCAGUUAAGUCCUUUGUUUUGGCAUCUGCGAGCGUUUCGUGCAACUGACACUUGGCCAUUACAACACUUGUUGUAACAACUAAAUCGGCGAGUGUAGCCACUAUGCACACACUGUAUACACUCAGCUGGCCAUGAUUGUUGAAUCGAAAACCAAUAAAUGACACGCAAGUGGAGGCAUUAAGCCCAAACGCAUGAGCCAGCAAGUGGCCAUUUUGGCUGCCAUGCCAACCGGUUGGCCACCACAAUAACACGGAGCAUGCACCGACCACAGCGCCACCACCUGACCCACCUGAGCCAGCAGAGCCACCUGCCCGCCCACUCACACGCUCGCCUGGAAGCCAGUUGUGCUGGGGAUUCCAGUAGUGCCGCCUGGCCAUGUCCAGUGCCACUUGUUCUCCGCUUAAUAUAAUUUUGUGCAAAUUUGUGUGUAAUAAACCGGGAUGCCGGGAGUGAAACAAAUCCGCCAGCGACGACGGCAGCUCAAAGGCACCGCAGCAGCAGUAGCAAAUUUCUGAGCUAUGCGAAAAUGUCAAGCAUUUUGUGUGCUUUCAUUUUUGUAUCAACAGCCUUGUGUGUAUUUUUCUCUAUUUUUUUUUUGUUUUUCUUUGUAUACUAUAGAGUAUACUUUAUGCAUGCCUGCAGUGGACAGUCCGCGCACGCUCGUUCUCUCGGCCAGAAUUGCCUUCCGGAAUGCUUUGAGCCGGAGCGGAAUUGGCCCGGCUAUGCCUUUGGACCACUCUCUCGCGAUUAACCUGCGGAAUGUCAAAGUCAAGCCAGGAUCGUGAGGUGGUGGCCAGGAAAAGGGCAGCGGUGGGUUGGCCGCACAAAAAGAGACUUCAUCGCAUUUCCAUCCAGAACAAACAGUUUACUUCUGUUGUACUACACAGAAACAAAUAUAUGCUUUUUAUAUAUGUUCUUA